UACGUAGGAUGCAAGCGUUGUUCGGAAUUACUGGGCGUAAAGAGUACGUAGGCGGUUUAAUAAGUCUGAAAUUAAAGACUGGGGCUCAACCUCAGGGAUGUAUCGGAAACUGUUAGACUAGAGGACAAUAGAGGAAGUCGGAAUUCUCAGUGUAGCGGUGAAAUGCGUAGAUAUUGGGAAGAACACCAGUGGCGAAAGCGGACUUCUGGGUUGUUACUGACGCUGAGGUACGAAAGCGUGGGGAGCAAACGGG
rnacentral:rRNA from 1 species